UGCAGCCCUGUUGACGCCUCUUCCUCCUGACACAACCCGCGUUGCUGCCUCUUGUUCCCUCCCUAGCCACCAUCGCCACACUGUCCUUGUUGCGCAAGGAACCUGAUUCAAUUGGUAAUAUUGCUGACGUAUGUCUAUAGCAUGAAACUGCAAUGGAAGAAAAUAAUAGGAAAAAAAACUGACAUCCACCACCUAUUUGUAGGCCUGUUGCUCUUCAUGCAAGGCAGCCACCAGUACAAGGCCUUUUUUUUUUUUUUUUUUUGGGUUGGUGUGUGUGUGUGUGGAAGCCUCUACAAAAGGUUCGUAAUUGAUAUAUGCAUGUGAGUAUUUGCAUUGUUUAGCCUAAAUGAUUGAAUCUGGGUUGAAUAUGGCGGUGGUUAAUUGUGACACAGCAGUGGGUUUCAGUGAAGGGGUAAGAGUGUGUCACAACAGUGAGGAUGUAAAAGUCAAUUCGCAUUUUCCGUUAACAAUGUUAAUUGUGCACUUCAGUCCCAAACCAUGGCAAGAUCAAUUGACAUAUUUUUAAAUGGCAGGUAAAAUGCUUUGUGGCAAAACUCCAAGGGGAUAAAGAGAAUUUUUCCCUAUAAUUAUUACCAGCAUCCUCUUAAGAGUAUUUAAAACCAUUUGGCCAUUCUACAAGAACAGUUAGGAAGGCAGAAACAAGACCAGCUCCAUGUUACCUUCUGAACUGAAUUCGAAGUUGUUUUUUAGGUGAAAGGUUGAUCUAGUAAUGUGAUAUUAAAGUCCUCAGAAAAAUCUCAAAUCCAAAGAGCACAAGACUGAAGAUACUUGGAAGAGCCAACAGUGGCUCUCAGAAGAAGUUGAUUGAUUGUCAUUUUCUUCAGGCAUCAAACCAAGUUAAGAGUAGUAGUUCUUGUAAAGUCCAGUAACAUAUCCCAUUUUCAGAUUCACCAAUCCAGCUAAAAGUUAUAUUGAAUAUCUAACAAAAAAAAAGAUUUUCCACCAGAUUUUUUUUUAUGCCAUAUUCAAAUUUGUGACAAUUAAAUUGAUUGCCUCUCCUAACUUGGAUUAAACAACCGGGAGCUAUUGAGUGGAAUUUACAGCAUUAGGUUCCUAAACAAGAUUUUUAACAAGCAGUUGUCAGAUUACAAACACAGCAUACUAGUUUCCUAUAUUUCCUCACCCACGAAUGCUGUUGGCAAACUCCACACAUAAACAAAGUUGGCAAAACUUAAACACCUUGACCAUGAAGAAACUAGCUUUGGCAGUCCUGUAGAAGCACAAACCAGAAGACAAAUUUUGGCCGCAUCAUGGCACUAUUCCUAUUGCCUACUGGAGGUACAUGGGUCCAACCUACAACGUGUCAUUGUCACGUGUCAACCCCGCAAGUUGACAUGUGGACCAAUUACUAUUGGGCAAGCGCUGUAGCCAUGCUCGUUUGUGCCAAGCCCAUCCAUACUCAGACACAACACAUAUCAGGGUCACUCGGUUGUCUAGCUCACCGACAACCCCAAUGAGCAAGGCCCUCAGUCUUGAAGAACUAAGACGUGCCACGCACGCCACCUAGGCUGGGAUCAUCAGGCACUAGGCACCUCACUCGCUCAGGACCACAAGAGGACAUGUGAAUUGGAGGUUGGUGCUUAAGGAUUUGUCUCAAUGCUCACCAAGCUCUCCUUCUCAUUGGGGCAAGGUGCGCUCAUACUGGACUUCGAAAGAAAAGGGCCUUGACCAAGACUAGAUACCUCGAUGGCCAUAUCAUACCAACCUCUGAGUCCUCUGACACACCUAGAAUGGAUGUAUCAUAUCAUAUAUACCCUUUGUCCACGUAUGAUAUAGCCUGGGUUUGUACCAGGAGUUGUAGAGUUGACCCAAUUGCCCUCCACUUCGCCUAGCGAAGGAGAUUGAGCCAGCUCCCACUUGCUUGCUACCACAGAUAAAGAGGCUCACCAUGCAAAAAAUAACAGAACUUCAUCAGCUUGCUCUUCGGCAUAACUUUCUAUGGCCACCCUCCUUUUUCUACACUAUGAAGCACAAACACCUAUCCAAAGGUCACAUACAAUUGUCCGACACGUGUCGAACAUGGACACAAGCCGGACAGGUUGGGAGCACGUUACGAACAUACUGAGGACUAUUUUUCUUUUUUUCAAAAAAUUACAAUUUUUAAUUAAUUUUUUUUUUUUUACUAAAAUAAUAUAUCUAAAGUUGAUAAAUUUGAUAAAAUUAAAUAUUUCACAUAAAAUACAUAAUAAAUACUUAAAAAUAUGAAAUAAUAAAUAUAUAAAAUUAUAUUUUUGCACGUGUCCUUAACGUGUAUCCUGCAUUUUUAAAAAAAAUUAUGUGUCUGUGUGUCUGUAUCAUGUCAUGUGUUCAUGCUUCUUAGAAAUUGGACUUGGCUCUAGGCUCUAUCCUCUCCCAACUCUGGUGAUCCUCAGCCACAUCAGUGCCUGCCAUCUUCCCCAAGGGCACUUCUUAGCUAGCUCACCCUCUCACCAUCUAUGAAGUACGAAUACUUCAAAAAGGGAGACAUAUCCAUAUCAUAUCCGUAUCGGAUACCGAUACUCCUUGGAUACUCUCAGAUACGUAUUAGAUACUUCAUUUUGAAAUUUAUCAAAUUGAUAAAUCCUUCUUGUUUUUGUUAGAAUGUGUUAGUAAAGUUCCUAUGUUAUUCUUAUUCAAUAUCUUUAUUUGUUGUAAUGGACCUUUAUUUAGGCCUGAACUUAUGUUUAUGAUUUAAUAAAAAAAGGUAUAAGAAACAUACCCUAACUUUUCUCUUCUCAAAAAUAACAUGGUAUCAGAGCCACUCUAAAAAUAAAGUUAAAAAAAAAAAAACACAAGUCGCACCACCACAACACCAACACCGCACCACCACCCCAGACCGACAGCACCAGGUGCCUCCUCCUAGGGCUCCGACAGCCCCAGUUGCAGAUACCUAGGGCUCCGACAGCCCCAGUCAAAGCCACAACUCCAAUCGAAGGCCUAGGCACAACCCCUAAGGCUUCACCAACACCCUAGGGUUCGUCGGAGCCUUACUUCUCCAGUCCUGGUUUGCCGGCUGGCUUGGAGACCCAGGGUCUAUCUUCGUCAACAUCUCUCUCGGUCUCUGCAUGUAACGCUUUUGUCUUCAUCUCUCUCCCUAUCUUCAUAAUAUGUAACUCUUCUUCGUAAUCUCUCUCUGUCUAUCUUCUCAAAAAAAAAAGAAAAGGAAAAAAAAAAUGUUCUCUUAAAUUUGUUUUAAAUUCAUUAUUAUAUUCUUCUAUCUUCCGAGUUUGUGAUUCACCCACGGUUUGUUUGUGAGGGUUCCGUCACACCGUCUUUAUGGCGGAAUUGACUAGUGAGUCUACUACUUCGCAGCCUACUACUCAGGACACGAGUCUUGUUUUGACUACUACUACGACCAAUUCCCUCCACCCUGGCCAGAAAAUCACCACCUCUCUUUAAUGGUCAGAACUAUCUAGCGUGGUCGCAAAAUUUGACUAUAUUUUUAAAGAGCAAAGGGAAGAUGGGAUAUGUUGAUGGGCGUGUUCAGGCUCCCAGUAUCACCGAUACAGGUUAUGAUCAGUGGGAGAUUACCAAUUCUCUUAUCAUGGGUUGGUUGAUACAAUCCAUGGUUCCGGAGAUUGGUGAGGGAUACUUGUCUAUAGACACAACACAAGAUAUUUAUGAGGCUAUGGCCGCUACGUAUUCCUGCAAAGGCAAUUUCUCACAGACUUUUGAGUUGCGACGCUCCAUUGACCGGUCCGUUCAGGGUGAGAUGACUAUUCUCCAGUAUUUUACUUUCCUUAGCAAUUGGUGGAAGAGACUUGAUCAUCUCAGGACUACAAGUCUGUCUGUCUCACGAAUUCUGCUGGUUUUCGGAAAUUUGUUGAACAAGUGCGGGUCUUCAAGUUUUUGGAAGGCUUGAAUGUGGAGUUUGAUCCUGCUCAGAGUUGUGUGCUUGGUAUGGAUGCGCUCCAUUCUCUCCAAGAAGCGUUUGCUUAUGUGCAGAAUGAGAAGAGUCGUCGUUCUGCUAUGCUUCUGGCUGCCUCUUCUGAUCGAUCUACCCUGGUUUCUGCCCCCCUUUUGAGAUGGGCAUCGUGGUUCUUGUCCUCCUUUUGAGAAGGAUACCCUCUUCUGCGAUUUUUGUUGUCGCCCUCGCCACACACGUACGACUUGUUGGAAGUUGCAUGGGCAGCCAUCUAGGGGUCGUGGAGACCGUUUUGGUUCUCGAAGGGAUCGCUCAGGACAGUCUCGAAGCCGAGGGCCAAUGCCCGAGCCCAUCAUUCUAAUACAGUUGAGCCACAGUCCACAGCUCUAGUUGAUCCAUCUGUUGAUAUCUCUAGGUUUUCUACUUCCGAGUUGGAGGUUGCUCUUCGCUACUUGCUAGACCGUCGGGCAUCUAGCUCAUCUUCAGGUAACAUUGCCCAUUCAGGUAACUUAGCUUCUUCUUCUACAAGUGCUUUCCUCUCUCAUCAAACGUUGCCUUGGAUUAUCGAUUCUGGUGCUUCUGACCACAUGUCUAGUUCUUCUGAUUUGUUCUCCGAGUAUACCCCUUCUUCAAGGCAGGAUAAAGUUCGAAUUGCUAAUGGUACCAUUUCUUCUGUGUCUGGGAAAGGUUUAAUUCAUGCCAUUGCUUCUUUUUUUUUAUCUUCUGUCCUAUAUGUUCUCAAUUUUAGUGUUAAUUUUUUGUCUUUAAGUCGUAUUACUCGGGACUUAAAUUGUAAUGUGACCUUUUUCCUGAUCAUUGUUUGUUUCAAGACCUUAUCACGAGGAAGAUGAUUGGCAGUCGUAGACACGAGAAUGGUCUCCAUAUCCUGGAUCAAGCAAACAAGUUGGCUCAUUCAUCCAUUCAGUUUCCAUCUACCAAGGAAGACAUCUGGUUAUGGCACCGCCAUCUUGAGCAUUCAUCUUUUUUGUUACUUAAGCAUCUUUUUCCCUCUAUUUUUUUGAAAAUUAAUGUUUCUGAGUUUCAUUGUGUGUCGUGUCAACUUGGUAAACAACACAUAACUUCUUUUGCUCCUUCUAUUAAUAAAAGUUUAGUUCCUUUUUCUUUGAUUCAUUCUGAUGUAUGGGGUCCCUCUCGUUUUGUGUCUUUAAAGAGUCAAAGAUGGUUUGUCACAUUUAUUGAUGAUUGUUCUAGGACCACUUGGGUAUAUCUUAUGAAGAACAAAUGUGAGGUGUUUUCUAUGUUUCAAAAUUUUCAUAAAAUGAUUUGCACUCAGUUUGGGGCCGUUAUCAAAAUUCUGCGUUCUGAUAAUGGGGGGGAAUACAUUGACUCUGGCAUUGCAAGCUAUUUUGCUACUCAUGGUAUUAUUUAUCAAACUUUUUGUUCCAAUAUCCCUCAACAGAAUGGUGUUGCCAAGCGUAAAAACCGGUAUCUUCUUGAAAUUGCGCGUUGUUUGUCCUUUGAAAUGCAGGUUUCUCGAUCCUAUUGGGGGGAAGCAGUUCUCACUACCGCCUUCCUCAUCAAUCAUCUUCCUACCCAGGUUCUUCACAAACAAACUCCUCUUUAGUUUCUGUUCGGAUUCCAAUCUCCUGCUACCUUCUCCAUUCCUCCUAAAACCUUUGGGUGUGUGUGUUUUGUUCAUAACCAUUCUCCUACUCGUAGUAAGUUGGAUCCUCGGUCUCUUCGGUGUGUCUUCCUAGGUUAUUCCGCCACCCAAAAGGGCUAUAAGUGUUAUCAUCCCCCCUCUCGAAAAUGGUUUGUCUCUAUGGAUGUGUCUUUUUUUGAAUCUCAGUCCUACUUCCCAUCCUCCCGGUGUCCCAGUCAUAUCUUCAGGCGGAGCCUUGGUGUGAAGAGACUCCUGUAUCACUACCAUCACCAUCAGCUAUUGAGACUCCUGUAUCACUACCAUUAGCCAUUGAGACUGUUGAGACUAUUAUUACUAGUGACCCAACUAUUGAGAAUGUUGACUCUCAAUUUGUAGUGAAAGACGGCAAAGUGUAUGUCAAAGACAAGGGUAGACAUAAAGUUACUUGGGUACAAGAGACCAAUUCGGAUUCUCCACUGCUAUCUUCUUCUUUUGAUGAGUGUCCAGAAUCCUCUCCUUCUGAUGAACCUCCAGGUAACUCAAUUCUUUCUGAUCUAGAUGUUCCCAUUGCUAAAAGGAAGGGGGUUAGGUCUUGUACUCAACAUCCUAUUUCUCAUUUUGUCUUCUACACUAAUCUCUCUUCUUCCUAUAAAGUUUUUAUGUCUAAAGUUUCUUUUGUGAGUCUUCCUUCUAAUUUUCAGGAUGCUCUUUCUACUCCUGAGUGGAAGCAUGCCAUGAUUGAGAAGAUGAGGGCUCUUGCUAAAAAUGGCACUUGGGAAUUGGCUGCAUUACCUAAGGGUAAAUGACCUGUUAGUUGCAAGUGGGUGUACACUAUAAAGCACAAAGCCGAUGGUUCAAUCGAACGUUACAAGGCUAGAUUGGUGGCCAAGGGCUUUACUCAGACUUAUGGAGUAGACUAUCAGGAGACAUAUGCACAUGUUGCUAAGAUGAAUUUUGUCAGAGUCCUCUCCCUUGACUCUAAUCUUGACUGGCCUCUCCAUCAAUUUGAUGUUAAAAAUGCUUUCCUCCAUGGAGAUCUAGCAGAAGAAGUAUACAUGGACAUUCCCCUAGGCUUUAAGAAUGUUAAAACCACAGGAAAGGUGUGCCGAUUACGCAAGCCACUUUAUGGCCUUCAGAAAUCUCCUAGGGCUUGGUUUGAGAGGUUUACUCAGGCCAUGCUGAGAUAUGGUUUCAAACAGAGUCAAGCUGAUCAUACUUUGUUCGUAAAACACUCCUCGCAUGAUAAAACGACAGCUCUCAUUGUCUGUGUGGAUGAUACUGUUCUCACAAGGGAUGAUGUUGAGGAGGUUCCUCGGUUAAAGGAGUAUUUGGCUAAUGAGUUUGAAAUCAAAGACUUGGGCAGCUUGAAGUACUUUCUAGGCAUUGAGGUUGCUCGGUCCAAAGAUGGUAUCUUCAUAUGUCAACGAAAGUAUGUGCUUGAUUUGCUAAAAGAAACGGGAAUGCUUGGAAGUAAAGCUUGUGAUACACCACUAGAGUCCAGACUAAAGCUUAGUGAGGAUCAAGAAAGCUAGCCUGUAGACUGGGGGAGAUACCAGAGACUAGUGGGUAGGCUUAUUUACUUAUCUCAUUCGCGUCCUGAUAUUGCUAUUGCAGUGAGUAUGGUUAGUCAGUUUAUGCAUGCUCCACGUGCAACUCACUUAGAGGCGGUUAUGCGGAUUCUGGGGUACUUGAAAUCUUCUCCGGGAAAUGGUCUCUAUUUCUCAAAGCAUGGUCAUCUCAAUGUGAAGGUAUAUACAGAUGCUGAUUGGGCAGGCUCAGUAACUGAUACAAGAUCCACCUCUGGCUAUUGUACAUUCGUUGGAGGAAAUCUAAUUACUUGGAGAAACAAGAAACAAAAUGUUGUUGCGCGGUCUAGUGCAGAUGUCGAAUUCAGAGCUAUGGCUCAAGAUGUGUGAGCUUUUAUGGAUUAGAUUAUUAUUGAGGGAUUUGGGGAUUCAUCAGACAGAUUCUAUGAGGCUAUACUGUGACAAUAAGGCCACCAUUAAUAUAGCCUACAAUCCGCGGUUCAGCAUGAUCGGACCAAGCAUGUGGAGAUUGAUCGGCAUUUUAUCAAGGAAAAGCUUACUAAUGGCAUUAUAUGUACGCCAUUCGUGUAGUCUGGGGAUCAACUGGCUGAUGUGCUUACCAAAGGAUUAGGGACUAAACCAUUCCAUGACAUUCUCAACAAGCUGGGCAUGAGAGAUAUCUUCGCACCAGCUUGAGGGGGAGUAUUAGAAUGUGUUAGGACAUUUCCUAUUUUAUUCUUAUUCAGUAUCUUUAUUUGUUGUAAUGGACCUUUAUUUAGGCCUUAACUUAUGGUUAUGAUUUAAUAUAAAAUGAUAUGAGAAACCACUCAUACUUAACUUUUCUCAUCUCAAAAAUAACAAUUUUAUCCAUGUCGCCUAUUACUAUAUAAAAAGUAAAGAUUAACAAGAGAAUAUAAUAAUAAUAAAAUUAAAUAUUAAUAAAUAAAUAAUCAAGUAAACUUAAAUAUAACAUUUUUAGUAGUGCCAAAGGGAAAAACACAUGGAUAAGUUGUGGAUUGUUCUAUUAUUAUAAUAUAAACAUAUUAAACUUGAUAUUGAAAUGAAUUACUUGUAAGACCUAUUGAAAAUUUAAAAAGUAAACAAGUUACUGUCUUAAAUUAAUACCUAAUUUUUAAAGAUUAAUGUUUAGCAUUAUAAAAUUGUGAUUUCUCAACAUUCUUGAGUUUAUGUGUAACUCACUACUAAUAAUUUUUUUUUAAAUAUUUUUUUACGAACAUAUCCCAACCAUACUUGUAUCCUAUUUUUUAAAAUUUUGGCGCAUCACCGUAUCUGUAUCGUAUAGUAUCAUAUUGUAUCCGUAUCUCAUAUUCGUAUCCGUGCUUCCUAGCUCACCAUCUACACCUACAAAUAAUGUGGCAUAUAAAUAAAGAAAACCUUUGACUCUGCAAAGAGCCCUGAAAAACUUAUGACAAUCACUUGAUGCCAAGAAAACUCCAUCUCCAUUUGUAGCACUUUCAAGUUUUCAAACAAUUAAAAUACAGUUUUCGUAAAAAUUUACAUCCAUAACCCUAUUCAAUUUUGCAACAUUGCUGCACAUAAAUGAGCUCAGUUCCAGUAUGAAACAAUUGAAAUAGGUACAAAAAAUUACAACUCUGAAAUGAAACCUCUGGAUUUCUGCUGUUGAACUUGAAAUUGAAUUGAAGAACUAAUGAACUAAAACCUAAAAAGUUAAAAAUUAGAAUAAUCUGCAGUAAUAAUCACAAUGGUCAACCCAACAAAAAAUCAACAGCUGAAGAGAAAAGGCAUCACAAGCAAAUUAAGAUAGAGUGCAAAUUAACAAUUACCAAAA